rnacentral:lncRNA from 1 species
GGGGUGGUGAGACAAGGAGAGGCACUUCUCAGCUUCUCCACCUGUGGCCAGUACACCCUGAAGCUUCACAGCCCUGGAACUUGGCAUUGUUUUUUCUGGAGGAGAGGUGAUCAACUCCACCUCACUCUCCAAACCAGAAGUUCCCAGGGAGAGCUUUCAACUUUGGGGUCUAGAUCAGUGGCCGGCUGAUAUUUCUGGACCCUCGUCUGGUUCUCAGACAGCACUUUCAUGGCUAGAACCCAGCUGUAAGAAGAAAAUGUGAUACAGAGAUGGAAAGAGAGUAGAGGUCCCUCCCCAGAGGUUCUACAUCCAAAUGCUGUGGUUAAAUUGAGCCUUUGAACUCUUGGCAUCCACAGUGAGGAUUAUAGUUUUUAAUCCCAGAGCAUAACAACACGGAGGGAAAAUCACCACACGGAACAAUCCUGGCCUAGAGUGCUGGUGUUGGAAGAAUGCACUGCUUCUCAGAGUCCCAGCCAAACCAAGUUCUCGUUGGCUAAAGAGAGCAGAAAACUCCACACUUGUGUGUCUCAGAACCCCAAAGACUUCCCUCCCUCAUUGGCUAAACAAGAAGCCAACAGGAGGACCACUGUGAAACCAGGAAGUUGCCUGGGACUUGCGCUCUUUUGAAAUAACUGGUCUCCAGAGGCAAUUUCGAUCCUGGCUCAUAGUCAAAAAUGCUGGGCUUUAACUUUUUUAAUAUUCGAUUUAAAUUGUACUUUCUUCAAUGCCUGACUCAC